AGAGGGACUGCCGGUGAUAAACCGGAGGAGGGUGGGGAUGACGUCAAGUCCUCAUGGCCUUUAUGUUCAGGGCUACACACGUGCUACAAUGGCCGGUACAAAGAGUUGCGAGACCGCGAGGGGGAGCUAAUCUCAUAAAGCCGGUCUCAGUUCGGAUUGGAGUCUGCAACUCGACUCCAUGAAGUUGGAAUCGCUAGUAAUCGUGGAUCAGCAUGCCACGGUGAAUACGUUCCCGGGCCUUGUACACACCGCCCGUCACACCACGAAAGCCGAAUGUACCAGAAGUCAUAAUGCCAACCCUCGGGAGGCUAAUGCCUAAGGUGUGUUUGGUGAUCAGGGUGAAGUCGUAACAAGGUAGCCGUAGGGGAACCUGCGGCUGGAUCACCUCCUUUCUAAGGAG
rnacentral:rRNA from 1 species